AGUGGCGACCGGGUGAGUAACACGUGACUAACCUACCUUCGAGUGGGGGAUAACCUCGGGAAACCGGGGCUAAUACCGCAUAAUGCCUUCGGGUUAAAGGAGCAAUUCGCUUGAAGAGGGGGUCGCGGCUGAUUAGCUAGUUGGCGGGGUAACGGCCCACCAAGGCGAUGAUCGGUAGCCGGCCUGAGAGGGCGCACGGCCACACUGGAACUGAAACACGGUCCAGACUCCUACGGGAGGCAGCAGUGGGGAAUUUUGCGCAAUGGGGGAAACCCUGACGCAGCAACGCCGCGUGGAGGAUGAAGUCCCUUGGGACGUAAACUCCUUUCGACCGGGACGAUAAUGACGGUACCGGUGGAAGAAGCCCCGGCUAACUUCGUGCCAGCAGCCGCGGUAAUACGAGGGGGGCGAGCGUUGUUCGGAAUUAUUGGGCGUAAAGGGCGCGUAGGCGGUGCGGUAAGUCACCUGUGAAACCUCUGGGCUCAACUCAGAGCCUGCAGGCGA
rnacentral:rRNA from 1 species